rnacentral:rRNA from 1 species
UGGGGAAUUUUGGACAAUGGGCGAAAGCCUGAUCCAGCAAUGCCGCGUGUGUGAAGAAGGCCUUCGGGUUGUAAAGCACUUUUGUCCGGAAAGAAAUCCUUGGCUCUAAUACAGUCGGGGGAUGACGGUACCGGAAGAAUAAGCACCGGCUAACUACGUGCCAGCAGCCGCGGUAAUACGUAGGGUGCAAGCGUUAAUCGGAAUUACUGGGCGUAAAGCGUGCGCAGGCGGUUUGCUAAGACCGAUGUGAAAUCCCCGGGCUCAACCUGGGAACUGCAUUGGUGACUGGCAGGCUAGAGUAUGGCAGAGGGGGGUAGAAUUCCACGUGUAGCAGUGAAAUGCGUAGAGAUGUGGAGGAAUACCGAUGGCGAAGGCAGCCCCCUGGGCCAAAUACUGACGCUCAUGCACGAAAAGCGUGGGGGAGCAAAACAGGAUUAGAUACCCUGGUAGUCCACGCCCUAAAACGAUGUCAACUAGUUGUUGGGGAUUCAUUUCCUUAGUAACGUAGCUAACGCGUGAAGUUGACCGCCUGGGGAGUACGGUCGCAAGAUUAAAACUCAAAGGAAUUGACGGGGUCAUA